UUUUCUUUUGAUAGAAUGUCAAACUUACGAAAAAAGUUACAAGAAGAGAACAAAGAGCUAUUAGAGGGUGUUGCUGACACAAUGCUUUAUCACUCUUGAAUAUUUUCGUGUGUAAUUCCUACAAAUAAGGACAUUCUCCCACAUAGCCACAAUACAACCAUCAAAAUCAGGAAGUUAACGCUGAUGUGUUUCUACCAUGUAAUCCUCAGAUCCAAUUCAAGUGUCACCAGCUGUCCCAAUAAUGUCUUUUAUAACAAAAACAUUCAGUCUAAGAUCACUCAUUCUAUUUAGUUAUCUUGUCUAUUCUUCAAUUUGGAAGUGUUCUUUGUUCUUUCCUGAAUGUUCAUGACCUUGACAUCUUAGAAGAUUAAAGGUUAUUUAAAGUUGUUGAGUUAAAUAUCCAUUAAAUUAGGUUUGUCAGAUAUUUCCUCGAAAUUAGAUUCAGCUUAUGCAUUUUUUGGAAGGAAUACCACAGAAGUGAUGUUGUUUUCUUUCUGUUGCAUCCAAUCAGAUGAUACAGGAUUUUGAUUUGUUCCAUUACUGUUGACAUGAAUUUUGAACAUUUGAUAAUGCCAGUAUCAGCCAGAUUUUUCCAUUGUAAAGUCAUUCCUUUGUCCUUUGUAUUUAAUAAGUAUGUUUAGGGACUUUGAGACUAUGUCAAUGUCCUGUUCUUCAUCAAAAUUCCACUCACUCAUUCUUAGUAUUCAUUGACGUUUACUGAUCGAACUAAUUAUUAUUAUGAUAGUUGCCAAAUGUUGGUUUUUCUAAUUCAAUCAUUUCUUUAGUGUUUAUUAGCAUUCUACUAUAAGGAAAAGCACUAUCUUCUCCCCAUUUAUUAAUUCACAUAUUUACAUCAGCUUGGAGUUAUUGAUUUCUAUUUUAUUAAAUAGUUUAUAAUUGAUUACCAUCCUUAUUUAUUUUAAUGCUCAAAUUGUCCCAAAUUAUGGCCAAAGAAAGCUCCUUCAAACUGGUUGCUAUGUCCUUUUGACAUGGCCCAUCAUUCUUUAAACACAUUUUACAUCUGGCACAAUAACGUGCUACAUACCCAUCUUGUAUUUUUCCUGCCCCAUCUUUGAAAUCAGCCAUUCUCAAGGGGUUCCUUCUUAAUCUGGCUGUUGUUGUGUUGGAACUCCUGGUACCAUCUUAGAACCUUAAGGAGACAAGCGAACCAAGCCAAUAAGCUUUCCAUGAUGCUGCUUAGAGUUAAACAGAGCCCAGGUACUAAGUUAUGUCAUGGAGACAGUGAACUAACCUCUGGACUGCUUGCUACAUGAGACAAUUGAUUUUCUUAUUUUCUAUGUAGGGUGGUACAUUUCCUCAUUUUGAGAUAUUUCUUCAACAUAUAGCUUUUCAUUAGUGGGGAUUUUGUCAAUUAUAACCAAAAACAAUGUGACGGAUACCCAAGAUGUUUCAUGUUGUAGCUUGGGUGAAUUACACAUUUCUGAAGCCAUUACACUUCCUAGUUUAUUUGGAUUUAAGUUGACAAAUAAAAAUUGCAUAUGUUUAUGGUCUAUAACAUGGUGUUUCGAUAUAUGUAUACAUCGUGGAAUGGCUAAAUCAAGCUAACAUAUCCAUUACCUCACAUAGUUAUUUUUUGUGGUGAGAACAUUUUAAAAAUAUUGUCUUAGCAAUUUUCAAUCAAGCCUGUCCCAUGGAGACACAAGCAAUAGUGACAUGAGCACUUGACUCGCUGGGUUAUCAGGCUUUGGCUCCAAAUGUUUGGCUUCAAAUAUGAAAAAGUUACAUGAAAGAUGAAACUAUGCAAUGGCAUGGCUGUUGGUCAUUCACAUCUCUCUCUGCCAAGAAUGGGGAUGACGCUGUUGAAGGAAGAAAUGUGUUUUCUCCUUUUUCUCAAGUGAUAUUUGCCUUAGGUCAGAUUCUACUAGUUUAAAGCAAAACGAUCUCCUGGUCUGAUUCCUUUGGGUCUCUAAUAAUGGAAACUGCAAGGAUCAGCAUAAAGUGUUCCUUUGUUCUGACGUUGGUAUAACAUUGCUUCUUGAAAAAUGAAAGUAUUUGGACAUACAGACAGAAGCAAUAUUAUUCAGGUCUUCCUUGUUGCAAGUGAGGGAAAUCCAAUUAAAACUGGUUUAAACCUAAAAAAAAAAAAAAGAAG
rnacentral:lncRNA from 1 species